UUCUUGUGAUUAGCAAUCAAGGACAGUUUCUCAGCUAAUCAGCACAGGAAGAAGAGCCUAUGGUAACAGACAAUAAAGGAACAGCUUGCAGACGGCCUAUCGUGAGACUUUGCCUUGUGAUCAUAUUACAAGACUGAAUAAGAUAGACAUGACCUCCUUCCUCCUGGACCUGACAAUUGUUCCUUCAAAUCACUUCCACACAUGCAUUGCCUGGGGACUGGGGACUGGGGUCUGGAUCCCAUGGCCAGACCAAACCCCAAAGGAAGCUAUUGGAGAAUACACACCUUCGAAAUGCGGAGAAAUAUAAGAAAAGGAAGACAAGAGUUCAAGAAGCCAGGCAUCCAACAAUAAUAACUAAAGAGGCAAGGUAAUUCUCAGGAUGAUGUAACAGAAAGUCCAGAUUGGCGAAUGACAAUGAAGAACUACAAGAGGUUUGUACUCUGAAAAGAAGAAGGAAAAAAGUGGAACUCACAGUUUGUCUAAAGUUUUUGACCAUGUUUCAAGGAAGUAUAUGGUUCUGUGCAAAGUUAGCAAAAGGUACAUUAAAAAAAUGAGAAAACAACAAAAUCAGGCAAUUACCAACUAAAAGUAUAAAGAAUUUGGUACAAAAAAGGAAAUUAAUAAUACACUACAUGCUAACUUGUUAACAAUUUUUACAUAGUACCAAUACGAUAAAUACAAUGUUAAUUUCAAACUGCAAUUAAUUAUGCUGGAAGGAUGUGGGAGUGUUAAGAGAGUUAAAUUACAAUCUUCAUAACAGGAAGUCAACAGAUAAUACCUACUGAAUAUUUCUACUUUUUGGAGGGAUGUUGGGUUGGGGAACUACUGUUUCAUUUCCUUAAAGUACUAUUUGGCUUUUUAAAUUGCCUGUGCACAUGCAUAUGCAUACAUAGUCUAAAGUUAAAUUUUUAAAACCA
rnacentral:lncRNA from 1 species